rnacentral:lncRNA from 1 species
UUUUUUGUUUUGAAACACACACACACACACACACAAUUACCCUCCCUCACACGCACACACCCCCUGCGCACGCACACGUCUUUCCGGAAUUCCUUUUUUCUCAAGCCCUGCCUUGGGAUGGCUCGUUAAAGGGUUGUCACUGAACCCCAAACGCCGUCUGUGUCCAACUCCCCAGCGUCAAGACUCGAUCUUCUUAACUUCUUGAGGGCCGGUGGCAGUAUUUGGUAUUUCGGAUGACCGAUGUGCCCAAAGUAAACUGUCUUUUACUCAGGCCCAGAAGGUCCUGAGCCCUAGGACCAUGCCUCAGGAUUACCUGGCCUGAUGACUCCUUGCUGUCCCCAGUCCACCUGGUCAUGAUGCUGCUCCAGUUUGAACUGUUCUGCCUGCGGCUAUGGAACGCUGACCUGUUCACUGCACAUGCUACCUUGUCCCGGACCUGCUGUUUUGGACUCUCUCUCUACCGCACCUGCUGUCUCUAACUUUGAAUGAUCGGCUAUGAAAAGGCAACUGACAUUUACUCCUGAGGUUGAGAAGGUGGAGAAUAGCACUCCGAAGCAUCUCUUUGAGCUAAAGAAGAGACAGUUGCAGUCUGCCUCUUCACAACGAAUGUACCAGCGCAAUACUGUGACCUGGUUAGCCGAGUGGGCUUCCAGAGGGAGUUUGCACCACCUGACGAGAAAAAUCAUGGAGAGGGGAUCUACUUCAGUAGCAGCAUGCAUGGGACAGAGAAGCUGUGGAGGGGCUUGGCUGAUGAAGAGUACCUGUACUUCGUUGCAGCGCAGGUGCUGACAGGGAAGUCAUUGGCACACCAGGUCUUAUUGUGCCACCGCAGACCCCCGUUGGAGACCCCCUAACCCUGUAUGACAGCGUGGAAGGGGGCGUAGACACCUGUGUCAUUUUCAAUGGUCACCAAGCCCUACCUGAAUAUCUGAUCAGCUGCACAAAAACAACUUCAACCCAUAAGUUCUGAUAACGAUGAAGUCCUAUGAAAUAUAGAUCUUAAUUUCAUUCAGUGAUUGUCUACUCUAUAGUCUAUGCAGAAAAACUGGAUUUGAUACACCAAUAUAGGAAAUUCUGACAAUUGCAUCACAUGUAUAUUGUUUUUUGAUUUGCCAUGGUUUAGUUUAAUUAUUUGCCUCCGUAUUAGCACUACGGCUUCAGUUUGCAGCCAACUAAAUUUUAUUGCAGUUUGAAUGGGUAUGUUAUGAAUUUAGCAGUGGGUUUGCAUGUAUACUGAACAAAAAUAUAAACACAACAAUUUCAAGGAUUUGACUGAGUUACAGUUCAUAUAAGGAAAUCAGUCAAUUGAAAUAAAUUAAUUAGGCCCGAAUCAUCUACAGAUUUCACAUGACUGGGAAUACAGAUAUGCAUAUGUUGGUCACAGAUACCUUAAAGUAUGGGGAUGGAUCAGAAAACCAGUCAGUAUCUGCUGUGACCAUCAUCUGCCUCAUGCAGCGUGACACAUCUGCUUUGUAUAGAGUUGAUUGUGGAAUGUUGUCCCACUCCUCUUCAAUGACAUGUUCCCCCACACAACAGCUAGCAACCGCAAACUAUGUGAUACAGGUUGGAAAGUCGACACACUUUCUGUACAGAUGAAGCCAAUGCUUCUAUGCAAAAGAGGUUUUGACAUUUAAAUCCAGUCAUUGUAUAUACAGUGCAUUCGGAAAGUAUUCAGACCCCUUGACUUUUUCCACAUUUUGUUACAUUACAGCCUUAUUCUAAAAUUGAUUGAAUUGUUUUUCCCAUCAAUCUACACACAAUAACCCAUAAUGACCUGAAGUAUCACGUUUACAUAAGUAUUCAGACCCUUUACUUUGUUGAAGCACCUUAUUGCAGCGAUUUACAGCCUCGAGUCUUCUUUGGUAUAACACUUCAAGCUUGGCCCGGUUGUAUUUGGGGAGUUUCUCCCAUUCUUCUCUGCAGAUUCUCAAGCUCUGUCAAGUUGGAUAGGGAGCGUCACUGCACAGCUAUUUUACUGUCUCUCCAGAGAUGUUUGAUCUGGUUCAAGUCUGGGCUCUGGCUGGGCUACUCAAAGACAUUCAGAAACUUAUCCCGAAUCCACUCAUGCGUUGUCUUGGCGGUGUGCUUAGUGUGAGGUCCUGUGAGCUCUGGAGCAGGUUUUCAUCAAGGAUCUCGCUCUACUUUGCUCCGUUCAGCCUGACUAGUCUCCCAGUCCCUGUUGCUGAAAAACAUCCCCACAGCAUAAUGCUGCCACCACCAUGCUUCCCCGUAGGGAUGGUGCCUGGUUUCCUCCAGACGUGAUGCUUGAAAUUCAGGCCAAAGAGUUCAAGCUUGUCUUCAUCAGACCAGAGAAUCUUGUUUCUCAUGGUCUGAGAGUCUGUAGGUGCCUUUUGGUAAACUCCAAGCGGUCUGUCAUGUGUCUUUUACUGAGGAGCUUCCGUCUGGCCACUCUACCAUAAAGGCCUGAUUGGUGGAGUGCUGCAAAUAUGGUUGUCCUUCUGGAAGGUACUCCCAUCUCCACAGAAAAGCUCUGUCAAAGUGACCAUCGGGUUGUCGGUAACCUCCCUGACCAAGGCCCUUUCCUCCGAUUGCUCAUUUUGGGUGGGUGGCCAGCUCUCAGAAGAGUCUUGGUGGUUCCAAACUUCCUCCAUUUUAGAAUGAUGGAGGCCACUGUGAUCUUGGACCGUCAAUGCUGCAGAAAUGUUUUGGUACCCUUUCCCAGAUCUGUGCCUCAACACAAUCCUGUCUCUGAGCUCUACGGACAGUUCUUUCAACCUCAUGGCUUGGUUUUUGCUCUGACAUGCACUGCCAACUGUGGGACCUGAUAUAGGCCGGUGUGUGCUUUUCCACAUCAUGUCCAAUAAAUUGAAUUUACCGCAAGUGGACUCCAAGUUGUAGAAACAUCUCAAGGAUGAAUCGAUGAAAACAACUGGAUGCACCCGAGCUCAAUUUUUAGUCUCAUAGCAAAAGGUCUGAAUACUUAGUCCCAGUCAAAAGUUUGGACACACCUAC